GACGAACGCUGGCGGCGUGCUUAACACAUGCAAGUCGAGCGGUAAGGCCCUUUCGGGGGUACGACGAGCGGCGAACGGGUAGGAGUAACACGUGGGUGGACCUGCCCUCCAGCUCUGGGAGUAAGACCUCGGGAAACCGGGGUACUAAUAACUGGAUAUGACUCCAUGACGCAUGUUGUGGGGUGGAAAGCCUUGUGCGGCUGAGGAUGGGCCC
rnacentral:rRNA from 1 species